AGAGUUUGAUCCUGGCUCAGGACGAACGUUGACGGCGUGCCUAAUCUAUGCAAGUCGAACGAGCCUUGGCUUGCCAAGGCUAGUGGCAGACGAGUGAGUAAUACGUGGAUACCUACCUCUAUCACGGGAAUAACCCACCGAAAGGAGGGCUAAUACCCGAUAGCCUCGCUUGCGAGUAAAGGUUUAGAGCAAUCUAUUCCGGGUAGAGAGGGGUCCGCGCGCCAUCAGCUUGUUGGUAGGGUAACGGCCUACCAAGGCUAUGACGGCUAGGGGGCGUGAGAGCGUGACCCCCCACGAGGGCACUGAGACACGGGCCCUACGCCUACGGGCGGCAGCAAGUGGGAAUAGUACGCAAUGGGCGAAAGCCUGACGUCGCGACGCCGUGUGAGGGAUGAAGGCCUUCGGGUUGUAAACCUACAUUAAAAAGCACCGGCUAACUACGUGCCAGCAGCAGCGGUAAUACGUAGGGUGCAAACGUUGUCCGGUAUUAUUGGGCGUAAAGAGUUCUGUAGGCGGAAGUGUAAGUUAUACGUUAAAGCCUCCGGCUCACCCGGAGAAAGGCGUGUAAUACUGCACUUCUAGAGGUACCUAGGGGUAAGCGGAACGUAUGGAGUAGGGGUGAAAUCCAUUGAUACCAUACGGAACACCAAAGGCGAAGGCAGCUUACUGGGAGUAACCUGACGCUGAGAGACGAAAGCACGGGCAGAAAAGCGGAUUAGAUACCCGCGUAUUCCGUGCCGUAAACGAUGCCUGCUAGAUCCAUGGGCUUUUAUGCUUGUGGGUCGAAGCUAACGCGUUAAGCAGGCCGCCUGGGAAGUACGGUCGCAAGGCUAAAACUCAAAGGAAUUGGCGGGAAUCUGCACAAGCGGUGGAGCGCGUGGUUUAAUUGGAUGAUAACCCAAGAACCUUACCCAGGCUUGACAUUCUGAUGCAAACCCUGUGAAAGCAGGGCUCCUUCGAGGGUUCAGAACAGGUGUCGCAUGGCUGUCGUCAGCUCGUGCCGUGAGGUGUACGGUUAAGUCCGUCAACGAGCGCAACCCCUACUGUUAGUUGUAUCACUCUAACGGGACUGCCCCGGUAACGGGGAGGAAGGUGGGGAUGACGUCAAGUCGGCGUGGCCCUUAUGCCUGGGGCUACACACACGCUACAAUGGCCGGUACAGUGGGUCGCAACACGGUGACGUGAAGCUAAUCCCUUAAAGCCGGUCUCAGUUCGGAUUGCAGGCUGCAAUUUGCCUGCAUGAAGUUGGAAUCGCUAGUAAUCGUGGAUCAGCUAUGCCACGGUGAAUACGUUCUCAGAUUUUGCACACACCGCCCGUCAAGUCAGCAAAGUUAGCACCACCCGAAGUACCCAAGCUUGCGAAGGUCCUAAGGUGGGGUUAGCGAUGAGGAUUAAGUCGUAACAAGGUACCA
rnacentral:rRNA from 1 species